rnacentral:rRNA from 1 species
GACGAACCGUGCGAACGUUGUUCGGAUUCACUGGGCUUAAAGGGCGCGUAGGCGGGCGACCAAGUCGGGGGUGAAAUCUUUCGGCCCAACCGGAAAAGUGCCCCCGAUACUGGCCGCCUCGAGGGGGGUAGGGCAUGCGGAACUUCCGGUGGAGCGGUGAAAUGCGUAGAUAUCGGAAGGAACGCCGGUGGCGAAAGCGGCGUGCUGGACCCCUCUGACGCUGAGGCGCGAAAGCCAGGGAGCAAACGGG